AAAAAAUAGUUUACAAGUGCAGAUUUUUGUGAAUAAAGUCUGUUGUGGGGGUCCACCUGUGAGAUGGAGCCUUUCUAUGUGGUUUUGUCUUUAGGUACAAAGACAUGUAUUUUAUAUUAACUGGUGAUUCUUAAUUCAAUGGAUGUGAGAUAUGCAUAGUAUAAAUUAAUGAAUAAAAGUAUGGGUAAAUGUAGAAUGUAAUCUCAAACUUUCACAAUUUUUUAAUUAUAACACUUUGUACGCAAAGUGUGUACAGUCCAAGUUCAAUAGAAACAAAACUCAUAAAGUAUUUUCAGCUAUCAAGUUUCCAUUCAAAUCUUGCAGAAAUAGAGGGAUAUAGAUUGAAGCCAUGCUUUCAAACCCUGCCGUCAAAAUGUUGGAGCAGAAAUCAAGACUCGUCAAACAAACCAAAGGUUUUUAGAUCAUUCAGUGAUGACAAGUCUGUGUAAAUGGUACUCAUAGUCUCCUGUUCUUAGAACUGUCACUGACUGUAGUCUUCUGCUUCAAGUUGCCACGUGUUAUACAUGCAUAGUGUGCAUAUCUUGGUUGUAACAAAUGGUUAUUUGACUUAAUGCUGCCUUCUUGCCUUCCUACCCUGAAGCAGUCUGAAUAUUCUCCUCCGACCACUAGGAUCACAAAAUUUCUGUUCACUGGAUAUUUUCUCGUUUUCAGAUCAUUUUGAGUAAAGCCCAUAGAUGGUUUUGCAGGAAUGUGUCACAGCUGAGUAGCCGGUGUGUUGUGGUGUGGACCGAAAAGCAGAAUGCACAGGAGGUAGAACUAAGAAUGAAGCUACGACAUGAACCUGAACAGGAGCAUGCAAAAAUCAAGACGUGAGGAAACCAUAACAAGAGCAUGAAAAAACCUGAGACCUGAAGAGACAUGAAAAUCCAUGGACAUGAUGUAAUGGAGACCAGGGGUUCCAUUACCUGGUUGGUAUUGUUAAUAAUAAAUUGUUGGAUUGGGAAUUUAAAAUGCGGUAAUAAAGAAAACACAUUAGUUCUUAUGGAGUCUUUUAUUAGGUUAUUUGACAUACGAUUAAAUUGACAGCUUGUAACACAAAAGAGACAGUGGGACUGGCCAUCCUACCUGUGUCGGAGAAGAGCCAAAGUUAGAGCUGCUUGCAGUUAAUCAUUUAUCAAUAACCUAAACAUAUGCGAAAUGAGAACUUGUAAAGGUACUCACCUGUCCUAGUUGCUUCUUGCAGGAUGUGGAGCAAAAGAGUGAAAGCGGCUCAAUCACCUG
ensembl:lncRNA